GUCUUUUAGAUUAUAAUUUAAAGUCUGGCCUGCCCUAUGAAAUAUUAAAUGGCCGCAGUAUUUUGACUGUGCAAAGGUAGCAUAAUAAUUAGUUUUUUAAUUGAAAGCUGGAAUGAAAGGUUGAACGAAAAAAUAUCUGUCUCAAUUUAAUUUAAUUAGAAUUUUAUUUUUUAGUAAAAAAGCUAAAAUUAAUUUUAAAGACGAGAAGACCCUAUAGAGUUUUAUAUUUUAAAUUAAUUAUUUUUUAGAAUUUAUUUUUAAUUGAAGUAUUUUGUUGGGGUGAUAAAUAAAUUUAAAAAACUUUAUUAAUUAAAAACAUUAAUUUAUGAUUUUAUGAUCCAUAAAAAUGAUUAAAGAUUAAAUUACCUUAGGGAUAACAGCGUUAUUUUUUUUUAGAGUUCUAAUCGAAAAAAAAGAUUGCGACCUCGAUGUUGGAUUAAAAUUUAUUUAUGGUGUAGAAGCUAUAAUAUUGGGUCUGUUCGACCUUUAAAAUUUUACAUGAUCUGAGUUUAAACCGGUGUGAGCCAGGUUGGUUUCUAUCUUAAAGUAAUUAAGUUAUUUUAGUACGAAAGGACCAAAUAUCUAUAAAAUUUAUUUUUUUUUGAAUAC
rnacentral:rRNA from 1 species